GGGGUGGUAGCUCAGGGGUCAAGAGCAGCGGCCUUAUAAGCCGUGUGUCGUGAGUUCGAUUCUCACUCGCCCCA
rnacentral:tRNA from 1 species